rnacentral:rRNA from 1 species
GUUGAACGCUGGCGGCAGGCCUAACACAUGCAAGUCGAGCGAGCGGCGGACGGGUGAGUAAUGUAUGGGGACUGCCCGAUAGAGGGGGAUAACUACUGGAACCGUUGGCUAAUACCGCAUACUAUCCGAUAACCCAUGUGGGAUUAGCUAGUGGGUGGGGUAAAGGCUCACCAAGGGGACGAUCUCUAGCUGGUCUGAGAGGGUGAUCAGCCAAACUGGGACUGAGACACGGCCCAGACUCCUACGGAGGCAGCAGUGGGGAAUAUUGCACAAUGGGCGCAAGCCUGAGAGAGCAAGGCCGCGUGUAUGAAGAAGGCCUUAGGGUUGUAAAGCACUUUCAGCGGGGAGGCGUUACCCGAAGAAGAAGCACCGGCUAACUCCGUGCCAGCAGCCGCGGUAAUAC